AAAUGUUUUAUUAAGUAUAUAUAAUAUUACAGGGUAAUAUUUACAAAGUUAUUUUUUAAAUAAAAAAAAUACCUUGGCAAAGAUUGCAGAUUUUCAAAGCUUCAAACAGCGACAAAUUGAUUUAAUACAUAUUAAAAACAAAAAACAAAAAAAAAAGAGAAAGAAAAAGGAAAAAAAAACUGACAGUAACAACAUAGCUGUAAAACAACUUUGGUUUUUAAAUCACUGUAAGAAUGGCUACUGACAAAUAGCACACCUUUAAUUGCUAUACAGAAAAGCCCCCAAAAGGGCCUUUGUACAUAGCAAAACUGAAGUUUUCUUCAUUUAGAAUGGUUAAUGGAUAUUUACAACACGUGGGAUCCAAUUUUUGACAAUGGCUUUUUGUAAAUGAUGCUUCAUUUAAUUAAAAAUAAAAAUCUGCUUCUCGUCCUCACCAACCCCUAUCACAAGACUUUAAGGUUCCACUGCUGUUGCCUUACAAGGAAGUCCAUUAAAGGUGAUUUUCUUUUGAAAAGUCUGAAUUUGUGAGAAACAUUUUAAAUAAAGCCAGAGUAUAUAGCUAUUAUGAUCAAGAGCCUCAGGCACAUGCUCCCCCAUAUAAGGCAGGUACUAACAUUUUAGCAUCAGAAAAACUUCCUGUUUAUUGCUGUCUCCUUCCAUGGAUUAAUUGGAUUAUAUUCACUGACAUAUGAGAACAGCCAAACUCAGGAUCUAAAUGGGCUUGGGAGGAAUAGUAGAUGAUUGCUAUUUGCUAUCUUUCCCUAUAAUAUGCACAUAAACACAGCAGACAUUGCAAAAACAACAACAAAAAAAACACUGAACAAAACACAAAUAAAAAUCAUAUAGAGCUGCCCUACACAUAUUUUUUUCCUGGUUUUCACAAACAGAUGAAUGAAUGGUGGAUAUAUGUAGCAUUUUUUUCACAGAGACCAACAGUAAGUACCACUAAUUCUUUUUUGUUGUUGUUAUUGUUAGAAAAGUGAAGAGAAUUUGGAAAGAAUGAGAUGGGACUCUACCACCACUCUCUCAGACCUCAAGGGGAUUAUUUAAGUGCUUUGAAAUUGGCCUCUUACUAAAAGGAGUUGUUCAUUUCCUUCACAAUGACAGGAAAGCUCCCUUGUUUUUAAAAAGUUGUAACAUUCUAAUGAUUUUUUUCUUUUUUUGGAUUUGACCUAAACGUUCAUGUUAAAAAAAAAAAAAAUCACCUUUUAAGAUUUCCAUAACACAAAACUUGUCAAUAGAAAAAAAACUCUUAUAAUAAGUCUGAGGGGGGAAAAAUUUCAAUUAUAGCCAACUCUUGAUUACCAACCCAAAUUACUAUCUACUAUGUGCAAAGCAUUGAACUAGGCACUAUGGGGAGAAAGAAAGAAAGAAAAUGAUUGUUUAUUCUCCUGAAAUAUCUACUGGGAGAUAUAGGAAAAAUAUUCUUAACAUGUAUGUGCAUGUAUGGGUGUGUAUAAUUUAAAAUGCUGCAGCUCUGUCUGCACCUUAAAGAUAUGUCCACUAAAUUAUUUUGAAUUCACCAAAAGGGAACUUCUUUAGAGAGGAAUAAUUUCCAUAUUUACUUUCUGAAGUUCUAUAUAUUGGAUUUACUUAAAACAAGGUACAUCCAUAAAUAGUUGUAUAGACAUAAAUACAUAAGUACUAAGUAAAUAGGGAUUUUGUUAGUAAGAUAAAGAAAAGGGAUGAUGAAUUUAUGAAUCUGAAGAAGAAAGAUGGUAUAUAGGCAGGUGAGGAAGACUGGUAAAGGGGGAAGGUAUUUCAUAAGUAAGGGCUUAAAUGCUAGAGGUUAGAAAAGGGAGUGAAAGAACUGUACCCAAGAAUAUAGUAAAUCAGUACAUGAGGAUAGGUUGGACAAAGAAUUAAAAAAAAAAAUAACUAAUAGGUGAAGAGAGUUGGAGAAACUAUUAGAUCUUUUGAAGCAUUAAAAUAACUGAUGUUUAAGAACAAUUUGAUCAAAAUAAUGAGCAAGAAAUAUGAUUCCUGUUGAGGUAUAUAGACCAAAUAAAUGGAAAUAGCUAAAGAUAGCCAAGAAAACUGCUGGGAAACUGAGUAAAACUAUAUUAGAGGUGAUUUAAAAAACUCAGAAAUCAUUUCAAAUAUUUUUAUGUACCCCACCCACCCAUUUUACAAAUAAGCAAAAAAUCUGAAGCUCAAGGAAAUCACUUUCCUAUAGUCACACAGUGGCAGACUAAAACUGAGAUCUCAUGAUUUCAGUUCAGUGCUCAUUCCACUACAUGAUUCCUCCAAGGGGUAACGUGCUUAAUAAAAAUAAUAGAAACAUGGUAAAUGCUAAUAAGAAUAACAAAUACAAGGUAGGUGUUUAGUAUAUUUUAGUAGUUCAAAUGUCAUAUGGUUAAGACCACAUAGGAAUGAAGAGAGGAAAGGAAAUCUAGACAAUGUUAUGGAGGCAGGAAUAAAAAAGACUUAAGUGAUAAAUGCAAUAUGGAAACCUAAGGAAGACAGAAUUUUUUGUAAAAAAAUUAAUACAUGGGUAUUAAAAAAAAACACAAAACUUCUCUGGCUGGUGGUUUCAAUGUCCUCCCCCUGGUCAAACUUCUUCCAGAGCUGCUCGAGAAUCAGUAAGCAAGCAUUUAUUAAGCACCGAUGUGCUAACCAUUAUAUUACAUGCCUUAGAGAAACAUGACUAAUUCAAUUAAUUUCCUCUUCACAAUCUUCUGGCUGCCACUUUCUGAUGGAGUUGCUUUGGUGGCAGUGAAAAGCCCCAAAGGCAGAUAGAAAUAGGGAGAAUACAAAAAUAAGGAUACUUCCUGCAUAACUGUCCCUGAAAUAUUGAGAGUUCACUAUAUUUAAAAAAAAAAGAAAAAAAAGAGGACAAUGGCAGUUUAGUGAGGAAUUCAUUGGAAAAAUCCUCAUACCUGGCUAUUCUUUUAAAAAAUAGAGAUUUGAACUUUUGCAAUUUCAUCUGCUUUAGCUAUUUUUCAGUUUUAUCAACAUGAAUUCCCCCUUUAUACUCCCAAAGUAGAAAUAAUUCAGGGGAAAGAAGAGCGGCAGGAAUUGAUGGACUUCCUGUAACCUAGCUCCUCUAUUUAAGCCAAUAUUUUGAAUAACACCACAAAGAGUGGGAAGGAAAAAUGACAAAAGUAUAAAAGAAAAAUAGAGCUGGCUUUGUAAAAAGUAUCUUGAUUUUUUUGAGGCAUCAAAAGGUCAUUAAAUUUUGGUUUGUCAAAGACAAACCACUUGGUCCCAACAUGAAAUAUGAAAAUUAAGUUGAGUAGUAUUGAACUAGCAUACAAAAGAGGCACAUGGGAACAUUCGGUGGACUAAGAAAUAACUAUCAUCAAUGCAACCACAUAUAUGACUGCUGUAUUAUACAAAUGGGGAAAAUGGCUGGUACUCAAGGGUACUGAUGAGCACAAAGCUGGACAACUGACUUUUUUUUUUUAAUAACCAAAUUAUUUUAAUGAUCAGUUCUACCUAAUUAAAUACCUUUGUUUUAAAUUAUUACUGAAAGUAGAAAAUCAAUUAUUUGCUCUGUGUUCACCCCAAUUGUCCACAUGAAACAAGCAUGUGCCUAUCACACAAACACACAGACACACAGACACACAUACCCUCACAGACACACACCCUCAACUCACAGACACAUGAACAAGGUAAAAACGAGUGCUAAUAAUCUAAAAGUACAGGCAAUCACAGCUGCCAUAAUGGUAAACUUCAAACCAGGGCAGGAAAGGAUUUUGUGUGUGUUUUUUUAAGGUUUUAGUCUUAGAGAAGGGAGAGGUUGAGGAGGGAAUACAAGAGGAUGGUGUUGAUGAGUUGUUUUUCCAUGCAACAUAGAUACAACAAUAGUUUUAAAAAAGGCCCUCUGGAGAAGCUGGCCUGAUGGUGAUGCACUAGACUGUACUGCCAUGCAGGAGAUCAAAGCUCAAGUCUCAAUCUUGGUUUUUCAUGCCCCAGACCAAAAACUAAGUGAAAUA
rnacentral:lncRNA from 1 species